CCCACAGAUUAAGGGGAGGAAAGGAAUACAAAUAAUCCCCCCUUAUUCCCCCUCUUCCCUCAUUUAUUCCCCCUCUUUCACCACUUAAUCCUUUCAUUUCUCAACAUAAUCCUUCUCUUUCUUCUUCUCACAACCAAACGAAUUACCAAUCCUCCCCUCUUCUUCUUCAUUCUCUAUGCAUCUCCUUCGUCUUUUUCAUCUUACCGACCAGUGGUUAUCUCUUCUUCUUCACACUUUUUCUCUCAUGCAUUUUGUCCAAAUCUGUUUUCCCAAAAUCGAUUUCUCUCUCAACCUAUUUUCACAGAUCUGACGAUAUUUUUACCAUAUUCACCGCUCACUUGAUUUUCCUCCACCAUUCAACAUCAUCUUCUUCACGGUACUUUAAUCUACAUCGACUUCUUAAACCUCACAUUUUCCCAUGUUGUCCAUUGAUCUUCGUUGUCCCCUUAGGCGUGAGUUUCAUUGAUAGGCCACAUUUAGAAAUAAACGACAGUCUCUGAUGCCUUAUCUAUGGUCGAGUGUUUGUUGACUUGAUGGGUGCUUUCUUGCAUGGCUUGUUCUAGGGACUUGUCACUUGGAGGUCAUUCAUUGUAUUCCCCUUGUCGCUUGGUUAACUCCCUUGCCGCGACGACUUUCUGGCAUUGAUGAGUGACAAAUACUAACUGAGGGUUGUGACUUUGGUGGUUAUGAGCUAGGUAGAUACUAAGGUCAACUCUCUUCUUUCUCGACGUAUGUUGAUGAUGAGUAUUGUUUCAUGAUUCACAUAUUGUUAUCAUUGCAUAUUUUUUCCCAUGUUCUCUGUGUUCUCCAUUAUAUUUUGUUUGUUUUUGCUAUAUUGUUGUUAUGAUUCUAUCUUUUACUAUCGAGAAUAUUGCAUAUUGUUCACGUUCUUGUUCUUUUUCAUGUUCUUGUUCUCUAUGUUCUCCAUUCUAUUGGACUUCAUGUGUGUACAAAAUGGAAAAAAAAAACAAAAAAUAAUACAGUUUUUUACUGUCCUUCUGUUGUUGCUAUAUGUUUCCGUUCCUCUUUGUUUGGCCGUGGACCGUAUUAAUUUAUUUCACUUCUUGGCAGCACAUAAUGGGAAAAAAUUGAAAAACUUGUGUGCAACCCGUCCUUUGUUAUUUCUUUGUUUUCAUAUUCAUUUGGUCGUGGACCGUAUUUUUUCUAUUGUUAUUUGUACAAAAUAAAUUAAAAAAAGGUAUUCUCAUGCACUGUCUCUAUCUGACUUUUGUGGUCCGCUCGUGAAUGCUUUAUUGACCAUCUUCCUCUAUUUGUUGUCCCCUCAGUACAUCACAUUACACAAUCAUAUUAACUUUUUAGUUGGGUUGUUGAUUGCAUCAUUAAAUUUGUCAUUCCCUUUCUACAUAUACUUAGUCCCUCUUCCUUACUUCAUGUGGGUUGUUUCUGUUGUUCCAUGUUUGUUUCAUUGGUGUGCAUCGUUCGGUUUCCCAUUACAGUAUGUUGCAUAACAUUUUGUCCAUGUCUUUCAUGUCAUCGCAUUUGAUAUGGAUUCAAUGCCCUUUAUAUCACCACAUUUUAUCAGGUCUGUAGUAGGCAUUUAAUCCAUAUUGCCUUAUUUGACGACAUUUUAUUUUCCUAUGAAGUUCGAUUUCAUAUCGUUGAACGAACUUCGGUUCUUUGAGGCAGAAAAAAAAAAACAUUUGUUUCAAUUUCGAAUAUUUUGUUCCUUUUACCUGUUAACCGUUUCAUUUAGCCAUUGUCCGUACGUGUCGUUAGGUCAAACAUAAAAGGUACGCUCACACACUAUUUUCUAUACAAUUUUUUUAUUGGUCAUACAUUGAAUACGUGUUGUCCUUAUGUACGUCCAAUACAUAGAUUAUUGUUUCAAGGUACUAGAAAAUCUACAUAUUCAACAAACAUAGGUCAUUCUCUGUCACAUGUAUUAUGUUUAAUACGUACCAUGUAUGAAAACUUCGUAUAACUAUUUUUGUAAUGGAACAUUCGUUUGAUAUAGCAUAAACCGAAGUUCUAUGGAAAGUAAUUGUUUUUCUUUGUUAAGAUGCAUUUGAUAUUUUAGUUUCUAAUCAUUAUCAUGUUUCACGUGCUCAUUUUUGUUUUUAUUUUUCGAUUCACGACACACUAUUACGACACUACUCCGAGCUAAAAUAAAUUGGUGCACAUCCUCUUCUAGUUGUUUACUUCAUUCUGAAAAAAAUGACAAUGACAUAAGUAAGACAUUUUAAAACUACUAAACUUAUUUAGGCGAAACAAAUUUACAAUACUACAAUUGGUACUACAAAACUUUUAUUAUAAUAUACUUAGAAAAUUAACGACUUAAUUUCAUAUGAUACAUAUUUUGUAACCAUACAAAUAUUCAAUGGUUACGCUUAUGAAGUGCAAACUAAACAAUUAAGGAAAAUUUUCAAAGAUUACAGUCUAAGAUGAAAACUGUAGAACCGAAAUUAGUAUAAUAUAACGAAUAGGGUAGAAGACCUUCCAACGGUGUAUACAACACAUUCCAUCAUUGCUUUUGUAAAUGAAAUGAACAUUUCACUUACUAAGAACAAUACUACCAUGUAGUAAAUAGAAGCAAAUUUUUGGAGUCCAUCUAACGAAAGUCUUUACCAUGGUGGCCUUUAGCAUACCUUGCAAUGGAUCCAAACAAACUAUCCAAUACUAUGACUACCUUCACAAUGGUGCAACAUCAAAUUAUACUAGACUUUGAGGCAUUUUUCAAUGACCACAAGAGGAUUCUCCAAGUUUCAUGUCACACUAGGCAUAGGAUUAGGCAGAUUGUAUAUUUUCGCAUGAUACACGCGUCUGACCUUGUCUGUCAACAAAGUACGCGCAUGGAUAGACGUUGUUUCUCAAUUAUGUGUUAUCUAUUGCAAACAACGUCAGACUACAAUCAACGAAAGGUGUGGAUGUUGAGAAAAUGGUCGCAAUCUGUCUGCAUGUGCUUGCACACGAUGUUAAGAAUUGCGAGAUCCAGUGAGACUUUGUACAUUUUGGUGAGACGGUCUCUCUACACUUCACCCUAGUCUUUACAGUCGUGCUUAGUCUACACAAUGAGUUGUUAGUGAAACCACAGUCUGUCACGAGUUCUUGCACAUAUUCUAGGUAGUGGUGUUUCGAGGAUAGGUGUUUGGAAUUCGGUUUAGUUAUACAUAUCGACUUUGUCCAUUUCUUACUAGUCUUUUAUUAUGCAUUGCAAAAUUGCCUUGGUGUCCUUGAUGACACGUACAUCAAAGUGAUCGUGUCAGUAAGUGAUCGGCCUAGGUAUUGAACAUGAAAGGGUGAAGUGGUGAUGAACGUCCUCGACAUAUGCAACACAAAAGGGGCGAACUCCAUUUUCUUCUUAUCAAGCUGGGAAGGAUCCACAACAAAUUUUCGUAUUCUGCACGAUGCAAUUUCACGACUCAAUGGACUAAGGGUUCCUAAGAGUAACAUCAACCUUGUCUAUAAACUACAAUAUUUUUAUUUCUUUUCUAAUACCAACAAUUUAGAAAAAAAAAACUAAAUUACAAAUCACACCAGGUACUACUACCUGUGCGACACGGGCUACCCAAAUGCGAAGGGUUUUCUUGCUCCCAGAGGCCACUGAUAUCACUUGCAAGAGUGGCGUGGCACUAGAAAUAUGCUCCAACUACAACGAAGGAGUUUUUCAACAUGAAACAUUCAUCUACACGAAAUGUUAUUGAACAAGCGUUCAAUCUUUUGAAGAGUCGUUGGACAAUACUUUGAGAAAAGUCAUACUACCUCAUUCAAGUUCAGUGUCAUACAAUUGGACGUGUUGUCUACUUCUUAGUUUAAUAAAUCGAGAGAUGACGAACGUCGACAUGCUAGAUGACGACGACGAGGGUGACUCCAACUACACAACGACUAGAGGUGACAACAUCAACUACAUUGAGGCCUCAAACAAAUGGACUCAAUGGAGGGAUGACCUUGUAUAGUCAAUGUUCAAUGAAUGGAAUGAUUAAUACGUCACAAUUAGUUGUAGGACGAGCACGUGAUAAAAGAUUGUGUAAAAAUUGUAUUUUGCUACCGUUUAAUCAAACUAGUAUGAUUUUUUUAUAUUGUUCAUGUUAUAUGUACUGUUAUAAUACAAAUGAUAACCUUAAUAUUUGGUGUAUGCAUAUUUUUGUGUAUGCAAGUGUUUUUUCAUGUUUUUUUGUCAGCAUGGCCAAUUCGUCGAGAAACCCAAAGCACCUAUGGACAAGGGCAGAGGAGUCAUGCCUCGUUGGAUAUCUUGUGGACUUGGUAAACGCAGGAGGGAGGAGGUCAGGUAACGAGACCUUCUGACCCGGUUACCUAGCACAGUUGGUGAGAAUGUAUGGGUAUAGAUUGACGUCCACGACUGUUAUCAAACACAAAAUAAAGUUACUUAAAAGAACAUUACAGGCACGCACAAAAAUGUGUGGUCCCACGUGCAGUAGAUUCUACUGGAAUGAUGAGUUGAAAUGCAUCGUUGCGAAGAAGGACGUCUUAGAUACUUGGGUCAGAACACAUCCAGCAGCGAAAGGCCUACUGAACAAACCUUUUCGCAUUAUGACAAGUUAUCGUACGAAUUCGGGAAAGAUCGCACUAUAGGGGCACAUGUAGAGACCUUCAUGGAUAUCAUGUCUAAUGAGCUAGCUGGCAGUCACAAAGUACGAUUGGAGGAUGACCUUGAUAUGGAGUUCCUCAAUAUGUGUAGUCCAAGAUGAACAUGUCCCAAUAAGACAUGUUGGGCGGACGACCUUUUAGGUCAAGUGAUGCUAGGUCGGGUUCGAGUGGAAUGAAGAGGAAGCAGACCAUUCAACAGAUGUCAAGCUUGAAACUCAUUCACGAUGCCAUGGACUGUAUGAAUGAACAACUGAGAGCAAUCGCAGAAUGGCCAGAUAAGGCACUAUAGAGUGAAGUCAUUGUACGACGGGAGGUACUAGCACACUUUGAGUCCAUUUCGAGCCUUAGUGAAGAGGACCUGACGAAAUGUAUGAUGGUCGUGACAGAAAAAGCAUCGAUAAUGCAUACAUUUUUUUACAUGUCCGAUCACCUAAAGGUCGCCUACUACAUGUUCAUUCUCUCGAUAACCCCUGAUUGUUGGUCCCCUUUCAUCGCUGACCCGUUAUUUAUUUUGUUUUCAUUGCUUUUCGUUUUUAUACUUGGUUAGACUCAUGAACUAUGUGAUUGAUGUUCCCUUUGACUAAAUUUCAAAAAGAAAAAAAAGACAUUCAUUUCCUUUUAA